ACGCGAAGAACCUUACCUGGUCUUGACAUCCACGGAAGUUUUCAGAGAUGAGAAUGUGCCUUCGGGAACCGUGAGACAGGUGCUGCAUGGCUGUCGUCAGCUCGUGUUGUGAAAUGUUGGGUUAAGUCCCGCAACGAGCGCAACCCUUAUCCUUUGUUGCCAGCGGUCCGGCCCGGGAAACUCAAAGGAGACUGCCAGUGAUAAACUGGAGGAAGGUGGGGAUGACGUCAAGUCAUCAUGGCCCUUACGACCAGGGCUACACACGUGCUACAAUGGCGCAUACAAAGAGAAGCGACCUCGCGAGAGCAAGCGGACCUCAUAAAGUGCGUCGUAGUCCGGAUUGGAGUCUGCAACUCGACUCCAUGAAGUCGGAAUCUCUAGUAAUCGUGGAUCAGAAUGCCACGGUGAAUACGUUCCCGGGCCUUGUACACUCCGCCCGUCACACCAUGGGA
rnacentral:rRNA from 1 species